GAUCAACGCUGGCGGCGUGCCUAAUGCAUGCAAGUCGAACGGGGGGGCGUUUCGGGCUCCCUUACGUGGCGGACGGGUGCGGAACACGUGGGCGAUCCACCCUCGGGCGGGGGAUAGCCUCCAGAAAUGGGGGGUAAUGCCGCAUGUGCGGGUGGGGGGGUAGCCUUCAUCCGGAAAGGUGCCUUUCGGGGUGCCACCCGAGGACGAGCCUGCGGCCGAUUAGCUGGGUUGGGGGGGUAACGGCCUCUCAAGGCGAUGAUCGGUAGCUGGUCUGAGAGGACGGCCAGCCACACGGGGACUGAGACACGGCCCCGACUCCUACGGGAGGCAGCAGCAAGGAAUCUUCCGCAAUGGGCGCAAGCCUGACGGAGCAACGCCGCGUGCGGGAUGACGCUUUUCGGAGUGUAAACCGCGUUUUCGGGGGGAAGAAGCCCGGGUGGGGGACCC
rnacentral:rRNA from 1 species